rnacentral:misc_RNA from 1 species
GCACCGGCCUUGCGCACUCGCGUCUUAAGACGACUCGCUCCCGUACGUAAAACUGAACUUUAGUACCCCGUGAUAAAGGUGAAAUUAGAAUAACAAGUGAUAAGGAAAAACUGUGCCUGUGAGUGAAUAAUUUUGGAUUUUGUGAAAUUUGUGCCGUGAGGUCGCAUUUUUUUUUUCUAAAUUGCAUGUGGUACAUCAAUACUCAAAACUACAAUAAAAUGGAAGGACUGAAUACGAAGUGGUGAACUCAACUACAACAGAUAUAGAGUAUAGUGUCAAGUGAAGGUUGCCAGACAGAAUGCCAGACACACUAUCCUUGUCAGCCAGCGUAAGUCUCGGCUUACUGGCUGGAAUCGUGUCUGGAGUAUGUUACCUAGUAGCUAAUGGGAUGACGUGGCCUAAGAACGACCGUAGCAGAAGAUGCGUGACGGCGUCUCAGGACGACGGCGUGUGUCGUAGCUGCGGUGGUGACAAGUACGGAGGAGCUCUGCCCUGCAUCUGCUAUCCUCAGGAGCCGGUGAAGUUCGAGUCGGGCGCGUGGUUCCUGCAGCAGGUGCACCGAGCCAUCAGCGUGAUGCCGUGGAGCGUGUCCAGUGAGAAGCUCGAGCAAAUAGACGAAGAAUGCGACGGCUUCGACGCCCCAGGGCCGAGCAACGCCACCCAAGGAGAACUAAGGAAGAUCAGAGAGUUCCUGGAGACCAUCUCUGCAAAGUUAGCCGGCGGGCCGCUAGAGAGCACUAGAGUCGCGCCGCUGUACGACCAUCCAGCAUAUCUUCCCGCGCCCCGAAACGCAUCACCCGCUCCGUCGGGCCACAGCGCGAGCGGAGCGCACGUUCAGCUCAAACGUCUAGUCGCUCGAGUAGUAGAGGAAGCGGCUUCACUGCCAGCCCUCGCAAGAUAUGCUUCGGAGCCCCACACGCCGACCAUCGAGUCUUCGACAUACGAAGACUUGCUGGCUACGGCGAUUUUGAAUAAGGUGAUAGAGCGCUACCAGAACGAGAAUGGUUCUGGAGGACGCAGCAGCGGCAUACACUCAGCGAGUGCCAGUCCGACGCCUUCGGAGCGCUCCUCACCACGCUCUCUGCCCUCCAGGCACACCAGGAACGUCACACCUCCACUCCAUGAAGAAGACGAUGUGUCUGACUGGGAGGAGGGCGACGCGACCGACGAAGCACUAGAAGUGCCGCGCCGCGUGCCCUUCCCGGAGUUCGGGGGAGACAUCGUGCACAACACAGAUAAUGAGGAUCGCGAGUUCGACGAAGUUUCCAGUAGCGACCUGCAGGCAGUCGACGGAACUUGGGAAGAGAACUGGCUGUUCCAGAAGAAGAAGAUAAAGACCAUACAGUCCGUGCCAGUGCCUAUGCUAGUUCCAAACUCAAACACAGAAUACAGAGCCCUGAUUGGCGACAGAGAUGCAGAUGACACCACAGACCUGUCAGACAACGCAAGCGACUCAGAGGAACAAGCAGAAUACAAGAGUGACAUGAAAAAAGUUCUAGACUCAAAACACGUAAUAGGCGGCAAACCCAAAGUUGAAGAAAAUGACUUUGAACCAGACAGUCUCACCAUUAUCGAAGGAGCAGACGAAUUUGACAAGCUCGUCGAGAAAAUAGAUGACGACGCAACAGUAGACGCGAUCAUUAACGAAAUUAAUGAAAACAACGUUACUAUUGUUGAAACUAACGGAGUGAACUCGACAGACCAAGUCGAUGGCGGUAAAUUAGUGAUCAGCAUUGACAGCGGGCCAUUAACGAAGGCAGAAUUCGCGGUAAAAGAGGAAAUACACAGGACAUUAUUGAACGGAAAUGCAGAAGACUUUAUGAAUGAUUUAUGUGCUAAAACUAAUGGAGACAUUUACAAUGGGCAUGCAAAUGAAUUGCAUAGUGUUGAUAGCUUCACUAGUAACAAAGAAUCGACAAACACCCUGAACCACCAGGAGCGUGAGGGAGAGUACGAGGAGACGGUGACGGUGCCCGUGCAGCGGUAUGCAGACAGUCUGCGCAGGAAACACUUCGAUGACGGUCCACACGAGAUGCCAACUCGUGACACAGACCAAGACGAUGAAUUAAUACCAGGUUCAAUAGCCUACAGAGAGCGCAAAAAAUGGCUGAACUACGUAGAAAUGCCGAACAAUCCAUAUUCCCCAGAGGCCAUUCAAAAAAGGUUGUCAGCCAAAAACACAUCGACACUUUUCGACAUGUUCACAUCUAAAAAGGAUUCUGAAGACGAAAGUCUCAAAAUUGAGAUAAAUGAAACAGAUGACUAUGAAAGUGAAACUAAUGAUCUUCCAGUUAAAGAAAUUCAGCAUAAUAAAUUAAGUUUAACUAUGAGUAAUGAUAGUAUUAAUAGUAUUGAUAAGACAAAUAAGAGUCCGUCGCCUAGAAUAUUGAAGGAUGUGAUGGCUGAGGAAAUUCCACAGUAUAAGCGUUACGGACGCGACUAUUACAUAAGAGAGGCGAAGGCGUCGUCCGGCGGCCGGCACAGAGCCAGUGCGGACGAGGCCAGCACGGUGUCCGCCCCCUCCCUCAACAAAUCCACCAGUUUAGACAAUUUCGACGCAGAGUUCGCGUCGCCUGUAAGUGCCAGCAGCUCGUUGAGCGACCUCGAGGCCUCCGCCCUUCAUCACAACAUCGUCCGCAACGUCCUCAGCCCGAGGAAUGCGAGCCCCAACUUCGCCAUAAACCCCAUUUUCGAAAACCCCGAUAGACAAAACGAUAACGCUGACGAGAAUCAUGCGACGAACGACAGUCGCUUCGGUCGAAACGCCAACGUAAGACACCAAUGUAGAACUGUGUGCGACGGUGACGGUUAUGUGGAAAACGAGGAUAUAGUUAGACUUAAAAUACCGAAAAUCCCCGAGAUUACUGAAGAUCUUUUCGAGACAUACACCGCCGUCCGGCGGAGCGGCACGUUGCGCAGCGCCGACGUCCCGCGCCGCCGCGUGGCCCUCGCGCGCUACGGCGGCAGCCUCAGGUUAAGCAAGGCCUUCCGCGCCGACGUCUGGUGACAGCCGCACCCCGCACCCACUGACCGACUUCUCAAUCUCUGAAUCUCCUACUGUGGAUUACUUAUAAAACAAUUCAACCAGAUAGCGACGAACCAACACUACACUAAGUUCGCUAACAAAGAUGACAUGGCAUCACUCACUACCACUGUAAACAAUAAA